CUCUCUCCUGCCUGCAAGUUAAGAACACUCCCAUUGUAAUUAUGGAAUUUCCUGGAAUGCUGAUAGUUGUUGUAUUCAUGCUGUUCAUUUCUGUUCUUAACUUUCUUACCUGGAUGGCAGGUGAACAUUAGAGUGCCAGUUUUAUUCCCAACAACUCUACACACCCAGAUGUUCUAAAGACCUUUGUUCAUUGAGCACUGAUGUUUGAAACUCAGCUGUAAGCGUGCUUGGCUGAAUGGACUCACAAAUAUCACAAAUAUUAUGGUGUAUCAAGACUGAAUUAUCUGGAUUAAAGAUGAAGAUAGAUUUUUCUUUCUGAAAAUGGAUAUUGGAUAUGUUUCACUAGAUAAGAAAAACCCUUAGAUGAGAUGAAGUGAAGCUAUUCCAAGAUUACAGUCACAAAAAUCCAACAUAUAGUAGACGGCUGACAAAAAUGAGGUCUGAAGAGGAUUAUAAUCACUGAAAAAGAUGGCUUGCAGAAUGAUUAUCUGGUAAAUUUAGCAACAAUUGCUUCCCAGCCUUUUGGUUAAGAUCAAGAGUAAGAAAAAAAAAUCCAAGAAGGCUCCGAUGUUGGCAUCCAAGUAUGGUUUCUAUGUUUCUGGCAACUGCAGCUUCUUGUUUAAUUUUAAGUAUUUUCAUUGAUGCUACCACUUGUAUGCUUCUUGCGAUUGUGGUGUCAGAGUCAGACUGUGUAGUAAUUUAUCCCUGUGAUGUAAUUAAUUGCUUUUCUUGUUUCCUUGGCUUCUGACCUGGCUUUUGGUUGACAAAUGUUUUAAGCUUCCAUGGUUUCUCCAUGGAGUUGUUGCUGAUUUCAGACAUGAAACAAGACACUGUGUAGUUUUGAAGGGUAGCUCUAGCACUCCGAAUGGUGCCUGGAAGUGGACCAAAAGUCAGUGAAGCUCUUUAAGACCCCUCAAGAUAAUAUUUCUUCUCCUGGAGCCGUUUAGCAGUGUGAUGUCUGUAUUUUGAAUUGACUGUAGCCUAAAGACACACAUAAUGCACUUCCUCAUGUCCUGAAAGCUGCAAGAACAGGUUAUCUCUAUUCUUAUAUUGUCAUAAGAGAUAUUAGUAAUAGACCAAGAAGAGAAAAUAUCUUCUUUAAAACUUUAAUGAGAUUUGAUUUGGAGGGUUAGUUCAAGAAGUAAAGUUGAUAGAAAUCACAAAUGCACAUUCACAUUUCUUGCUUGGAUGUUCCAUCUUAUUUGAAUUUUUAUUUCACUUUACAAGAACUUUCAGAAAAGAGUCCCCAGCCCUAUAUAAGAGCCUUUAAGUAUCUGAUGCCUGAAAGUCAUCAGACAUCAAAUAACUAGGUUUUCACUCCUUGCAAAUGUCUAUGGGUUUUUAUUUUAAGAUAGAGCAAUAAAUGAUGCUCAU